UUCUAAAAAUGUAUGAAUAAAUUGUUUCUCAAGUCAUUCAAAUGACAUUAUUGUCCGCGAUAUGUUCUGACCAAAAAUCGGUAAAUAAUUCUGCGCGGCCCGGUACAGGCCAUACUAUGGUCUAUCAAACCGUAUACGUUUCGUCCCAUUCAUCUAAGUUAUUGAUUGUUUUUGGGGCAAUAUAUGCUCACAAAAUAUUAACAAAAAGAAUAAUCCAAAUGAAAGUUCCUAUAACUCAAAGAAAACAUUUAGAGUUACUUUGUCUUGACAUGUCACAGUUAAUGACAUCAUCUUUCAGUCAUACUGCAUUCAAGAUAAUUGGGCCACUCAUGUGAAAAAGUGGAUUAAAUUUGAUGUGCAAACAAAGAUAAAAUAUUAAACAUAGAAUACAAUGUGAAUAAUUGUGUGGUUUCUAAGAUGAUCAAAAAAAUUAGUUACACAAUAACAUAGCUCUGUGGAGUGAUAUGAGACGCACUAAUUUGGGUAUAUUGGCCAUGGCUUUGUGGAUGUUUCUGAUAUUGUCAUAGGGCUUCAAAAUCCUCAAUUUGUAGGAAGUACAUCCAGAGCUGGCACAACUUUGAACUUUGGUUAUAGAUUUGUCAAAUUUUGCAAAGGUGUAGCAUAUAUAAAACAGUUGUUGCCCGCAUUUUAUCUGCAUUACAAGUCAUUUUAUCAAUCAUAUAAUACUGUUAUUCAUUAUUGCCUAAUUAGUAGCUAAAUAAAUACAAUAAACCAA
rnacentral:lncRNA from 1 species